UGCAGUCGAACGGUAACAGGCCGCAAGGUGCUGACGAGUGGCGAACGGGUGAGUAAUACAUCGGAACGUGCCCGAUCGUGGGGGAUAACGGAGCGAAAGCUUUGCUAAUACCGCAUACGAUCUACGGAUGAAAGCAGGGGACCGCAAGGCCUUGCGCGGACGGAGCGGCCGAUGGCAGAUUAGGUAGUUGGUGGGAUAAAAGCUUACCAAGCCGACGAUCUGUAGCUGGUCUGAGAGGACGACCAGCCACACUGGGACUGAGACACGGCCCAGACUCCUACGGGAGGCAGCAGUGGGGAAUUUUGGACAAUGGGCGAAAGCCUGAUCCAGCCAUGCCGCGUGCAGGAUGAAGGCCUUCGGGUUGUAAACUGCUUUUGUACGGAACGAAAAGACUCUGGUUAAUACCUGGGGUCCAUGACGGUACCGUAAGAAUAAGCACCGGCUAACUACGUGCCAGCAGCCGCGGUAAUACGUAGGGUGCAAGCGUUAAUCGGAAUUACUGGGCGUAAAGCGUGCGCAGGCGGUUAUAUAAGACAGAUGUGAAAUCCCCGGGCUCAACCUGGGAACUGCAUUUGUGACUGUAUAGCUAGAGUACGGUAGAGGGGGAUGGAAUUCCGCGUGUAGCAGUGAAAUGCGUAGAUAUGCGGAGGAACACCGAUGGCGAAGGCAAUCCCCUGGACCUGUACUGACGCUCAUGCACGAAAGCGUGGGGAGCAAACAGGAUUAGAUA
rnacentral:rRNA from 1 species